UACGAAUCAUGAUUAAAAGAAACCGGCCCGAUAGAGGAUACGACUGUUGCCCUAAUGUGUUGAUAAGAAACCAACGUCCACCACCUCCCCUCUCCGACGACGAUUCUGUGACCCUCCAUAUGUUCUUCUCCCAUAAGGCCAUAACGGCCCGAGUAAAUGGUUUGGCUUCAAUCCCCACUACGUCGCCUUCAAUUGUCUUCUUCGAUGUGAGAGUCGGCGAUGUUUCAGUAUAAAAAGAAUACCAUGAUGCAAGCGAGCAUCAGUGCUAACCGGCUCUCCAGGUUCCAGUCUAAGCUCGCCGCCGGUUUCGACGUGUCACAGUGUGCUCUGAGAGUUCGCAUCUGUAAAUGGUGUUGGCGAUAAGCAUGAGGAGCUUUGGUCGCAGCUUCAGAAAUAACAACUACGGAUGGUUCGUGGCGAGGUCAUCACACAGUGGUUCGUGGCGAGGUGAGGUGAGAAGGGAGACUGAGCCUGUGGUGGGAAGAUGACGCAGAGGAAGAUAAGAGGAGUCGCCGGAGACAUGUUUAAGGUCUCCUUCACUAUGCAGGCUCUCCCUUCAUCAGAUAUCGAAGUAGAUUACUGCCAUCAGCACUAUCAUAAGUGCUCUGACGAGGUAAACCAGUGUGUUCCUUUGCCAAGUUGAAAUGUAUCAAGGCUUCUUAGAUGGUCUUAGACAAGCUCUUGCUGAAGUAGAGCACCACUAUGCAACCCAUGGACCUCUGAUUCUUCGUCUUAAAAUAAACCACUUCUGCAAAACUACUGUUCAAUCGUUUAUCAACUAAAAUAUCUAAUUUUUUCUAGAGAUUGAGUCCGUGUUACCGAGAUGGUGGUUGAAGAAUAAGAUGACUCCAUAAUUUUCAGCUAUAUCUAUGACUAUUAAUCAAUGAAUUUUUAUUUAAAUUA